rnacentral:snoRNA from 1 species
ACUGGAAGGCCAGGAAGGCUUAGUCUGGUGAAGCAGGACUUGGCUGAUACACUCUUUCUAGACAAACGGGUGGAAAGAGCUGCCGAUACUGGAGAAAACCACAGGGGUGACUUACAACCCAACAUCU